UAUAUGCAUAUAUAUGAAUAUGAAGCCUGAUAAUCAAAUUUUCAUUUGGACAUAGAGACAAACUUGCAGAAUUAUUUAUUCUAGUGUAAGCCACAGAUCUGAGUCCCAAGACCAGUUCUUCUGGAACUGACUUCCAUAGACCUCUAUAUUGCUUAUGCAAUACAUAGUCCCUGGCCCUAGAUAAAAGCAGACAAGUUUCUACAAGUCUCUUUAUGGCCAAACCUGAAUCACUGAAAGCAGAGGGCUAGAUAAUCAGCUGAACACCAAAGGACUCUUACUACCUUUACAGUGAUCUGGGCACUAUGGGAAGAAGUAGAAUUUUGUAUAACUCUACUGACCUUCUCUGUAUCUGUCCCCUCCCUGCCUUUUUUAAACCCUCAAUUUCCAUUUUAGAAUCAAUAUUGUGUAUUGGUUCUAAGGCAGAAGAGUGGUAAGGGCCAGACAGUAGGAGUUACUUUCCCAGGUCACAUAGCUAGGAAGAGGCCAGAUUGAACCCAAGAACCAACCCCCCCUCCCCACAUUUCCAGGUCUGAAUCCGAUGAACCAUCCAGCUGGCCUCUUCUUGAGCACUCCCAGAGAUCUCUCUAGUAAUGCUCUCUCAUCUAGUACAAGUGGUGAUGCUAUUAUCUUCAUCAAAUCAAAGUGAUAGGCCAUGCUUGCUUAUUUCCCUUGGUGAAUUUCUGGUCUUUGAGAACAGAGAACUACUUCCCCAUAGCAGCUUAUAGCCCUUCUCAAGCAGGACAUUCCUAUGAGUCAUUUUCAAUAUCAACACUCUUGAGUCCUGGGAAUUUUUAGUUUGGAAAACAAAAGCAGGCAGCCCAGCAGAAACCUGACUGUAGGCAGAGCACAGGGGCCAAAGAGCCUGUCAUCUGUGGCUAAGUGAUUAUAUAACAGCUCAAGCAAGCAGAGAGGCAGGCAGAUAAUGGGAGGGAACCCCAGUGAAGCAGUCAUGGAGAAAGGCUGUGCAGACUGAGAAAGACAGAAGCAGGCUAGGUUCUUGAUCCUGGUCUUCUAAGUCAUUAUGGAUCUUGGUUUCAAGACCCAUGUGAAGAUGCCCUCUAGACUGAGCAGGCAGCAUCUGGCGUGUUACUGCCUAUCUUCAGAGAAUCUCCUCUACUGGAAUCCCAAGUUUUCUUCUUCUUCUAUGGCUCUGGUAUGCACAAGGAAAUAAAAUGCCAGGUAUUUAGGAGGUAUGGGUUCUAGGCUCCUCUCUUUAGAAGUCACUGCAUAUCAUAUGCAUCGUCAUUCACCCAGGUUACUUUUCUCACUUUUUGUAACAAAUAAUGCUUAUUCUUUCUCAUUGAGUAAGAAAGGGAGAAGGAAAAACCACCUGCUAUGCUGUCUCCUCUCUGUAAUGGCAGGAAGCUCCUCAAUGCACUUGUACAAAUUGGGAAGCUAAGGUACAAAGCUCUGAGAAGCAGCCAUUCUGCAUUGAAAAGAAAUAGGACCGAGGAUACAGAUGGACUAUGGACCAAGCUUUCUGGUGCUUUUUCUUUUACCUGCUUCUUUUUUAGCUUCCAGUAUUUCCUUGGGAGGUAAACUGGCUGGUUCUGAGACAAUUUGCAUAAGCAGUUCAGCUUAGAUGCAGGCUGGAAACUGUUUGCUGCAGGGAUUACUUUCCAUAAUUUGAAGUUAACCAGCAUUCUAUACCUAGACUAAUUGGUUUAGAGAGCUUUAACCUUGUAAUUUGGGUUCGUUUCUAUGUUAGAGCUUGAAUAAGAAUGGUUCAUCUUAGUCCCAAAGUGAACUCAAGUUCUGGUCUAUUUCUGUAUUCAAAAGGGAAAGAAUGGGAAGACAGCCCAAGUAUUUUGAGUCUCAUUCUUUUUCACUAUAUGUUAGAGAGACAUCCCUUCACCAUUUGGAGGUUAUUUGCUUACAUUUUCAGGAAUGAACCUAUGUUAUAAGAUACAUUAUGAAAUAUGACUAGUUUCUACUAAGAAAGGAAAGAUUAACUUUUUAUUGCCUUUUCUGAACUUGUAUUUGGGUUAAAACUUUCUAAUGAAUCUGUUCCAUUUUGUCCCAUCCUUCCCACCUUCCCCUGCAAGUUCCAAUGAAGGAAGGAAGGUCCCUUAAGCCUGUCCACCUCUUCAGUUAAGACUGGUCUUGGCACUUCUACCUGAUUAGUUGCUACAGUUAAAAAAUAUGUUCAUUAGAUUGGUGCUGAUGAAUGCCUGUGGUGACAUGAGUAAGUGGAACACUGUUCUAGCAACUUUGUUAGGUUGGUAUUUGCUGAUGAUAAUCACUAAGGAGCACAUCGCAGGAAAGAAAGCAUUCAUGCCCUAGUACUACUGAAGGUCCUGCAGCAUGGCUCCAGGUUUCCGAGCCAGUAACGGGGAGUUCAAGUCUGCUUAGAAAACAAAGAAAGAACACCCUGACCCCAUUACCAUUUUCUUUGUAAUUUGACUUUUCUUAAUGUGGUCUAACUCAUGUGGGGGCUGGUGCAAAAGAAAUGACAGAAGGUCCUAUGCAAAAGUAAAGUGAUAUAUAGAAAUGUCCACUAUAUUAAAAGAUGUGGUAGGGAGAAAAUUAGACGUAUUACUUCUGAAUAGAGGCUGCCUACUUGAGGCAAAUGUAAGGGGGGGGGGGGGGUUCUCUUCUCAAUUAAUGUAAAAAAUUCUUCUGACCUCUUCCAAGAUGAGGAGAAAGAAUGGCUUUGGCCAGCUAGGUUUCCUUGAUAACAUUUUCACUGAAGACUUCAGUUAAGAAAUCAGAAAUUUAUUUUGAUCUGGUUCUCUAUUAAAUGAAGCCAAUGCUCUGGUACUAAGGAAACAGAAGUUCUUGAAUACAAAUAUAAACAGAGAGCUAUGAAAAUAUAUUGGGAGGAGAGGAGAAUAAAAAGUUCUCCCCAGCUUUGGGCACUGAAUAUAGCAUAUAGCAGAACAUUAAACAUUUCAAAGAAAUGACUGUUUCCCCAUGAUAGCUGUCUGUUUAUAAAAUGAAAAGCUACAUGUAGAAAAGGUAGGGUGAGGUAGUUAAGGCAGGGGAAUGCCCUAUAUAAGGCAACUUUCUAGUCCUCUGUUUUACUGAAUUUUAUAUGAACUCGACCAAAAGUGGGAAAUAAUGUUUUUUUGUGAGGUUCCCUGUACAAACUGCAAAAUAAGAGCUUGUUAUAGGAGGCAGAUCCCUUUACUUUACUGGCUGAAACAGUUUCUCAUUUCUGGGGAGGGGAAACUAUUUGGAUGUCUAAUAUGCUAGAUAAGAUGGCUGUAAUUCAAAAGACAGAACCUCCAUUGAAAAGAAAGAGAAUGAAAAGCGUAGGGGAGGCAAUAAGUGAAAGCCCACUGCUGUGUACUCUCAGGGGUCAAGUCAAAGACCAGAAUAGGAAGUUUCAGGGAUGAGCUGGACCUGCAAAUGAAGAUGGCUCCUUGCUAUUCAGGAGAGAGGUUGUAAAAAUGCCCACAGAAGCCCCAGGCAUCUCUACCAUCAUGCCCAUCCCUCCUUGUCAUGCGUUCUUCCUCGCCUCUAUUUCUAGCUUCUUUUGCUCCUGCACAGGCUGUCUCCCUGUCCUAAUAUUUUGGCAAACUGAGCAUCAGCACCUGCUCUUGGGGAGGAUUAAUUACAUAGGCCUAUGGUGAGGGGCACACGGACACCCCUGACAAUUCCAUAGUCCCUGGGCACUGCUUGAAGGGUAGACAAAACUCAUUUAUUUAUUUAUUUCAUUUUAAAAAAAGUAACAAUACCACAUUCUGCAAAAAGAUGAAGCUAUAUUGCUGCAGCUGCUAAAAAUACUAUCUGUUGCAAGCGUCUGCACACCAGCUUCUCAAUCAGGGACGCCACUGGGUCCUUUGUAAACUGUUCAAUGUUGGCAGCUCUGUAGGGGGGCUCAUUGAGGUCAAGGUCAGCACUGGAAUUGGCACUUGAGAUUAUGGGUGUAGAAGGGCUAUAAGGAGUACAGAUUUUGAUUCUACUGUGUUCAGCAGAGUUUGUACCCCCAAAUAUUUUCUGACUAACUCGGCACUGGCUUGCAAACUCAGUAUUUUGGCCUGUACAGGGUACAGGGUUGUCUCUGGGGGAGAUCCAACAUAUCACACCAGUAGUUGUAAUGCCAACUGACUACUGGAAGAUACCAAAAUCCCUUUUGUAACAUCAAUAAACCCCAGAAAGAGCUAAUGCAUUUUCUGGUGUUGUUUUGUUUUUGUUUUUUUAAAUGAGGAAAAUGUAAUGGAAGGUUAGUGGGCACCUUCUCUAAGAGACUGAAAAAUAUGGGUUUCUAAAGAAGAGGUCCCACAGAAAGAUACAGAGAUGUUGCCUUAUUAACACUGUCCUUCCAUUAUGCUUCUCCUUUUAAAAACCUUAUGCCUUUAAACUCCUUAAGGAAGUCUAGAAAACUCUAUGCAUCCAGAAUAAGGAUCAGUCUAGGGAGAUGAGCAUGUGUUUUUGACUAGCUUGUAUACUGGGAUCUUUAGGUGUAGAUUUCCCAAACAAUACUUCUUCCUGCAUACUUUUUGCUACAAAAGGAGUCUUAUCUAGUAGUGUACAAUACACAAUUUAUCAGAACUCAACAGGAAAGUUGGAAACCAGGGAGAUAUGUUUUAGUCCAGGGAGAUGAGCAUGUGUUUUUGUCAUUUCAAUUUUCAUCUUAUGAGCUAUGAUGAGAAACUUCAGAGACCUGACAAUCUAAACAAAUGAGCAUAAAAAAGUGCUCAAAAGACCCACAAAAACUUGAGAGUAAAUGACAAUCAAGAAGAGAUGACCCCAAAAUUGUUCAGUUCAGCAUUAUCUUUCCUUUACUACCUGACUCCUUUCUUGUGAUCAUAAUUAGCCAGACUUUUGCAUAUUUUAUUAAGCUUCCAUUUUAUGAUGUUUUAAGUGAUGUUUAAUAUAGUGUAACUCUGUGUGGUAUUCCAAGCCCCUUGCCAGGGGCUGCUCAUAUGCACAAACACAAUUAAUAGAAAUUCACAGAAAAUUAUGCUCUGCAUCAAAGCUGUCAUUGUACCAUAUAUUUAUUGUUACUAUAGAAUUAUUAAGUACUCAUACUUUCUUGUGUUUACUAGGUAACAGAUAAACCUCUAGAAAUGUGCUUUCCCUAUUCUGCUAUAUCAUCAAGACUAAAUAUAAUUUUUGUAUAUAUGUUUAGCUCUAUUUAGCAAUGCUUUGUGUAGGGGAGGGGCAGGAAAUCAGUUAACAAAAUUAAGUUGCCAGAAAAUGUGAUUUGUUCCUCCCCCACUUGACAAACACUUCAAAAAUGACAAAAAGAUGCCACAGUUAAUAAGAAGGCUCAAUUGUUUCUGCUAAUGGGUAGGUAGGAGGGGUACUGGAACGGUGGGGAGUAGAUACUCAUCUGCCCAAACCCAACACAUAGCUCAAUAUCACUAAUGUGGGAUUUAGGUUGAACUCCUAGUACAGUAGAGCAGUAGAAGAGCAGAAAGACUGGGUAUACUAGGGGCAGCAUCUGAAACCCUGUGGAUUUUCUUUUACUUCCUGGCUCAAUUUCACAUAUUUAGGAAUCUGCUCUAAGAUAUAGGGCAAAGCAUUCAGCCUAGGCUGUCACAUAGGCUGCUUUCCAGGUAGUUUUGAGGGUAAUUUCAGCUAGACUCUUACUUAUCUCUCAGUAAAAUGAAAUCUAAUCUGAUAAUAGUUCAGUAUUCCCUCAUUAUUCCCUUUGGACAUUUCUAGUUCUUAAUUUUUGGCAAGAAAAAGCAGCGGUUUUCCUACUAUCAAAUCUCAUGGAACGGCAUUGGAAAAUUCCAGGUCUGUCAACUCCCCAUGUCAGAUAUAUCCCCCCCCCCCUCGUUUUCUGGCCUUUCCUCAGUCCCUAUUCUCAAUGGGUUUAGCAAGCUUAACUAAGGGGAGCCCUCUUCACACAUUACCACCCACCUCCCUGCAAUGCUUUAGCUUUUCUUCCUAUUCAUUAGUUCAAUCUAAAAGACUGAAUCUGGCUCUGCCUGUAUCACAGGCAUAUCAUCCCAUCUAAAGAACUGAUACAAUCUCCAAGGAUUCCCAAAAGAAAGCUAGUUCUGUGACUCAGGGCAAGUUAUUUAACUUCUCUAAUACUAAGAUUCGUCAACUGUCAAAACAAUGGUUGGCCUAAAUAAGGUCUAAGGCAGAGAUCAACAAAUUUACUUUACAUUGAGGACCCAAAUGAUUUUUUUGCCUUUUAAGGAAAGUAAUAAUAAAAUAGGAGGGAAGGGUUUUAUGUUUCCUUAGGGCACUAAUUUUCAAACUAAGGUUGAGACCCAAGUUAGGGUCAACAGAAAGGUUUUGAAAGGAUCCUUUGAAAAAGCUCAAAGAAAAUGCUAAGCACAAUUGGCCAGGAUAACUUAUGGAGCAGAAAGAAAAGCAAGUGUCCAGUUUUCUCUCCAUCUCCUUCAGUCAAGUUUGUACGUAGAAUAGAGGCAACCUCACUAGGACAACAAUGUAUAGUGGGGGCCAAGUCUAAGGAGUCUCAAAUUAAAUCCUUAUUGCUAUCUGCAAAAAAUCCCUAGUGCUUCCUGGAGCUAAAUACAUUCCUUUACAAACCAAGAUUAUAAUUAAACAAGAAAACAAAUAAGUCAGAAGAGCUAAGUGUAUGCCUGUUAUUUUGGGCAAGAUACCUCUCAAAUGCUAUAUAUCCUACCCAUAAUUUGCUGAGGUCCUUCUAGGUCAAAAAUUUUAUGAUUUAUAACAUAAAUGGGAUGCACUGAAGAAUGAAUAGAUCAUAUUUUUUUUCUAUUGAUAAUCAGAUGUAAAGGUUUAGACUGCAUUGUGACAAAGGAAAAACUAUUAUUUUUGUAGCUUGGUAGAGAAAGGAAGAAAGCGGUUUCUAAUUGGAGUAUAUUUUCAAUUGAAUUAUUCCUAUCUUAAAUAAAAUUCAAUGUAUUAUACCUCUUAUGACAUCUCUGCUAAAAAUGGAGAACCAGAAGCCACUACAACUGGAAAUCUGCAUUCAGAUACAGCAGGUCUUGGGCCUCUUUGGCUAAAGGAAGAUGGCCUCAUUCUUUGACUGUAGUGAGAAGGGGACUAUUUGCCAUCUGCUGUACUAGUUACCUUCUUUGCAGCCUGGGCCCUGUUUGCAGUCUGCUAUAAAUAUUAAGAGCAAAGCCACCAACAUUUCCCACCCACAGCAAGCUGAGAACCCUCUUCCACCCUGCUUGCCAAGAUGUUUGUAAGAAGAUCCUAUCCUAUUUCAGGAAUAGUGGGGAGUGGUUCCACUUUAGGAGGAAAAUAUUGAAAAGGUAUCUCCUCCAAUCUCUUGCUUUCCUCUUCCUCUGUAUGAGUGGAAAGAAGAGAAGAAAAAAGAAUGUUCAACAAAUCUAAGGAAGGAUGCCAGAGCCACUGGUUUCCCUCCUAAUCCUAUCUUUCUGGAUAUAAUGUUUAUUAAUGAUUCCCGUGCAAAGAGUAACUGUCCUGCUGGUUGCUGCACACAUAAUUAACCAGCUUCAGGGAAAGCUGGAUACACUCAUUGGGUCUGGGAUCCACAGACUCCAGAGCUACCUGAUAUAGACACACUGCUUUUGAAAUGGAAUCUAGAUUGCAGGGUGGAGUUUUCCUGUUGGAGGAGAAAAAAAGCACUCAGAAGAAUAUUCUGAACCUUGGUCACCCAAGAAAUAUCAAAUAAUAAUGCUGCUAGAAAAGGACCCGGAUGACUGUAUGGAUCCAAGGACCAUGAUCUCAACCAUGCCAACAAAGCCCUAUGCAGAACACACUAUGGAAAUCUGUCAAAUGCCAGACUUUGAGGCUGUGAGGCAGCCUUUUUGAGGCCUGGCUUAUUAAACAUCCUGAGAGUGAGAAGCCCACCCUUCCUGACAUGUCAUUUUCUACCAGGAGUGUCCUGACUGGAUUCACGUUCAUCCACCUCAUCCUCACUCUGCUUUUCUCUUUGGAAACAGUGGCAUGAGGACUGAUUGUCCUACUGACUUGAGUAAAAUGAGACAGUACUUUGCAAGUAAAGUGGAGACUGAAGUUUUUCAAGAAGACUGAAGAUAAACACAGCUCCAGUUUAGCCAUCAUCACAUGACCCAAAAUUCUAGAGUGACUGUGACAAUGUGGAUAUGUGGAUAUGUAGCUAGGAGGGAGGAUCAGCUGUUCCCCCAAAUCUAUGAUCACUCUUCAGUCAUCUCCCAGAAUCUGGCUGAGACUUUUGCCCAGUAAAAAGCCUUUCCUCUGGUGGAGCUGCCAAACAAUGAAGCCAGCGGAAGAGUUCCCACAUCUGCAGUGCCCAUCACCAUAGCUGGAGGAAUCCUCACAUGACAGCUUUCCACUUUACCAAAUACUAGGGAGUUCUCUGACAGAAGAGCUGAAUUAAUGUAGACUGAAUGCCAAAGGAUGGGGCUUUUUUUUUUUGGCCUUGUAUGCUAUCAUCAAUAUCCUAUCACAUUCUAUGUCUGUUGCCUAUCAGCUCUUCUUUGGUAUAAAUGGACAGUAGGAACUCUUUAGCUGUUGAGUUGUAGGGAAAGAGACAAAAAUAGGUGUUUUUGAGCUCAAAUAUCCAUUUCAGAAAACUAGUUACUGAAUGAGGUAGAGACAACAGCUGUCAGAAAGGGGGUUGAGACUUACACACCAUGAUAGUGAGGAGAAAACAAAAAACAAGUGUUUCAAACUAAUGCUGCUUCCCCUCAAUGUUACUAAAUUAGAAAACCUACUCCACGUUUCAUAUCCAGCAAGCAAUAAUUUUUCAAAAAUUAGAAGAAGUGCUUUGGAAAAGAAUGAGUUCUUUCUGCUCAAUGUGGCAACUCUGCUUCAAAAAAACUUCUAUCACCUAAGCAGUUUAAAUAAUUUGGACCUCAGUCCUAGUCAUAUACUAUUCCCUUUUAAGAAAGCAACAGGCCCUUAGUUUUGCUUGGGAUGGGGUAUAAACUGCUUCUGAGUGCUGCUGACAACCAAAGUGAGCUUUUAUGAAACAGCAUUCUGCUGUCUAUUCAAAUUGUACCCAGGCUUCUGGGGGGUAAACAUAGUGGAUAUGAGAGCAUGCUGAGGCUGGCCCCAAAUUCUGCCCAAAUCAAUCACCUGGUGCUGAUGGAAAGAAUUGCUACUACUGAUAUGAUGGAAACUGAGCACUCCUUCCCCCACUUCACAGUGUUCUACCCAGGAAGCAGAAAUGUAUUAAUCUUUGUAGAUGAGUGAUGCAGUUUAAAAUACUGCAGUGUUUGGCUGCCAUCUCUCUCCCCUGGGGUCUCAAAAUAACUUCACCACAAAUCACUUUUGCUAAACACUCACUCAGGCAUCCCUCUUCCCUGCCAGGAAUAUACACAUAUUAUGUAAGUGGAAGAAGCCACCCAGCUCUGGCUAGAAGAAGGGAGGGAAUAUACCCAGGGGCAAUGUUUUGCUGCCCUGAGACUUUGUAUAGCUGGAUUUUAAAGCUACCUCUGAAUCCUGGCAGCUGGACCCAAAUAGUAACAAGCUGCCUCAGCAAGGGAGCAUCCCCCCAAGGAUGUACAGGCAACAAUAUCAGAGAAGGUCACCCAAUGCUGGGACUGCCCUAGAAUCAGAACACUAGCAGUCUCUGAAUGUUUAUAAACACUUUUCUUCUCUAGGGUCUCUCUAGUCAGUUCCCCUCCCAAUCCACUAAAUAAAUCAUGUUAAAAUUGCUAGUACCUUUUAUCGUGUGUGUGUGUGUGUGUGUGUGUGUGUGUGUGUGUGUGUGUGUGUGUGUGUGUGUGUCCCCAGCCUGCCAUGCCUGCUGAUUUACUCAUGUUUAGGUUUUGGGGUCUACAUCAAUGGUUCUUACACAGAGUAAACAUCCAAUAAACAUUUGGCAAAUAAAUAUAGUGUAAGAAUCUCAUGGUAUGUAUGUACAAUGUACACUCAAACUUUUUCAACAGAGCAGUAGAUAAGGCUCAACAGACUAGAGAACUUUUCCAAAUAGACUCAUCCUAUUGGACUGAGGGAUAAUGGAUGUGUUCAAAGACAAUCAACAACAAAGCAGGUCAUUUUCAGCAAGUAUCUCUCUUGAUUUCCUGUUUCUCAAGUACUCCAAUAUUAAGAUACAAAGGUUUGAUUUUUUGCUCCUGUAAUAUUUAAUAUGAUUUCAUGAAAUUAUAGUUAAUAAAAUAUGGUGGAUUAAGAAGCCAUAUCUAAAAUCUGUUGAUUAACACAUAUAAGGACGUUUAUCAAAUGUGCAAAUAACAUAAAUCAGAGAGGGAUAGUUUAUAUGCUAAAUAAUGAUAAAUAAAAAACAUUUCAAUAGCUAAGAUAGGCAAAAAAUAAGCAAUAGCAGAAAAAAUGUAAAGUCUUAGACAGAAUUCAGAAGAUUUGGUGACCUCUAUAAUGCACCUGAAUUCUGAGUUUCUAUGACAAUACAUAUAAUCUAAGGAAGAAACAGAAUAAAAUAAAAACAUAUUCAUUAUGCUCCUCCUAGUGUACCUCUCCUGAAAAGGAUGGGAAUGGCAAGUAAGAUAGCCAUACACAUUAUUCAAGCAUUUCCUCAAACCUAGGGGGAACAUAUUAGCUCAGGGAGUUCUGGUUUUCAGUGUUUUGUUUUGUUUUGUUCUCAAUGAACAAGUGUCCUUUCAAAUGUCCAAAUGUCCUGACUUAGCCUUGAUUGGCUAUGUCACAACCACACUGUGGAAGUACUUGAAAUAACAUAUCUAUAUCUAUAUAUCUAUAUCUAUAUCUAUAUCAAACUUGGUGUAGGUAGGAUAAUUCUUACUUCUUGAGCACUUCAAAUUUGUCUCUAGUUUAGGAUGGAUUGAAGAAACAUCUCCAGCCUUUAGAGGUAUAGGGAGUGAAUCUGAAUUAAGGGGUAAACAGACUCCUGAAAGGGGAGCAGGCCUUUCUCUUCUCUAAUCCUUGCACUAACUAGUUAUAAUGCUCUCUUUGCAUUCUAAAGGCUGUCUUUCAGAGAGAACUGAUGCCACAAGAUUCAUAUAUCUAAGGGUAACCUUAGAGAUCGUUUAAUUUUCUCAUACAGAUGAGGAAAUUGAGGACUGAGGAUAAAUGAAUUACCAAGGUCAUUGCUAGCAGGAGCAAAGAAAGAACUUACACCCAACUCAUUUCAAGUCUUGUAGUAUUUCAACUAUUAUCAUAUAGAGACUUCAGCCAACAGGAAAGGUUCCAAGUUCCAUUAGCAGCAAUUUGUCCCCUUGAAAAAUUUAAGGUAUAAAAAGAGUUAAUUUAUUGAAAUAAAUAAUGUUAUCCUUCUUUGCCCCAAAUUGUUUUUGAACAACAUAUAAAACAAUGCAUUUAAAAUUACUGAAUUUUGUGUUUCUUAUUGAAAUACUGACCUCCACUAAAUACCUAUUCAAAUAUCUCAUGGUAGCAUGGAGAUAACUCUGAAGUGUCAUAGGUCAUCCUACUCUAAAAUUGAGAUUUGAACCCUGGACUUCAAUCCCCACAAGCCCUUGCUCCACUUCCCAAAAAUGCUUUGUAAUCUCAUGGGAAUUCUGAGGUGGGCCGAGAUCAAGGAAGGAUUUAAGCUGGUGGCAAAGGUUUUUGGGUCUCUUCUCUCUUUUUGGACUUCCAUUUUGGAGCAGACGUGGCUUUUUCCAUAAUGUAGGUGAGGUCUUGUCUAGGCCUCUGGCCUAGGCACUUUUUCCUUAUCCUGUAUUUUCUUUAAUCCUUAAUAAACCUCAAAAAAAAUUAAUACUCCUUGCAGAGAGAAACUAAUUUCAGAUGCCUCAGUCUCCCCUAAAUUUUCAUCUUUAUAGUUGGUGACCACAAGUAGGAGCCAAGUUCGGGGAUACUCAUCUGUGAGUAUCUUCAGAACUUGGCUCCUACUUGGCUUCUAUAAUCUGGUCCCUUCCUUUUCUGCCUUUCAUAGUGUGGUACCUUUCUGAAAUCCUGGCUAUUGACUGGGUAAAUGCAUCAUUGCUUAGAUCAUUUUAAUUGGGCCCUGAUUCAAGGACCUGUUGUAGAUUUAUUUUUCUUUUUACUUAGAAUUUUUUCACAUAAAACUUUGCUAGUCUAUAUUUUCAUCCAGAGUUUUUUCUUUUUUUAUUUGGAUUUUUCUGAUAUCCUUUUAAUAUCUCUUGCCAAUUGAUUCAUAUACUUCAUACCUCAGCCAUGCAUCCCUAAGUGAUCCUGUAUUUGUCAAUCACCCUCUUAACGGGGGAAUGUAAAAAAAUAUUAUUUAAAUUACAAAGUUUAAAUUCCUUUUGAGAAGAAUUUUAGAUAAAGAAGAUGCUACCUCUCUGAAUCCAGAACUGAACUGUUGGAGAAGAUGCUAUGAAGAAGCCUCCAGACCAGCCAGCUGCACAAAAAAUUGAACUUUGGGUGUGGUUGAUUGAACAUUUAUUUGUAUGUAUACUUUCAUGCCAAAGGGACUUCCCCCUAACUGGCUUUUUGUCAAUGCGUUCAGCAAUUAUUGGUUUUGUUUUUUUUUUCUUAUCCUCAAAUUAUUGUAAUCUUUAAAUUGAUUAUGUUUUUAUGAUCCUUUGGGGAAGGACUUCUUCCCAGAGGAUCAAACGGGGGUAUUGUAAAAUUGAGAUUUGAACUCUGGACUUCAAUUCCUACAAGCCUUUGCUCCACUUCCCCAAAAUGCUUUGUAAUCUCACGGGAAUUCUGAGGUGGGCCAAGAUCGAGGAAGGAUUUAAGCUGGUGGCAAAGGUUUUUGGGUCUCUUUUUGGACUUCCAUUUUGGAGCAGAUAUAGUUCUUUCCAUAAUGUAGGUGAGGUCUUGUUUAGGCCUCUGGCCUAGGCAUGUUUCCUUAUCCUGUAUUUUCUUUAAUCCUUAAUCCUUAAUAAACCUCAAAAAAAUAUAAUACUCCUUGCAGAGAGAAACUAAUUACAGAUGCCUCAGUCUCCCCUAAAUUUUCAUCUUUACACUACCAGGAUGAAAUCUCUGAUGAAUCAGGUCCUAAACUAGAAAAAGUACCAACUACAGGUUCAGCAAUGGAUUGUGCCUAACAUCCCAAGAUUAGCCUAGCUAAAUUAGGAGAUGUUAUCACUAUGUUAUAUUAGGUAUGCAAUGAAAAUUUACUUUUUUGGUCACAGCAAUUCAUAAAAAUGUCUUGUCCAGUCUAAAUAGAAGAGAAAUUCCUCCUUGACUAGGUGGUGCAAAGGGUAGAGAAUCUCCCCCAAUCCCCUUAAGUUAGGAAAACCCAAGUUCAAAUCCAGCAUCAUUUACUAGCUGUAUGACCUUGGGCAAGUCACUUAACUAAUUAACUUUUGUUUGCUUCAGUUUCCUCAACUGCAAAAUGGGGAUAAUAUUUGUAAGGUGAUUAGCAUAGUUCUAGGCACUAGUAGGUGCUAUAUACUUACUUCUCCCCUUCCCUAGAUAUGGUGACACCCUCUUUGCAGAUGACAUUGUAUUGUCUGCAUGGAGCACUGAACUACUGCUAGGCCUAAAUCAAGUAGAUGAAGAAUGCUUUUGGUCCAGACAUGGACAACCUAGAGGAUUUGAUAUUCAGUAUAUGUUACUUGGACAGACAUACGAAAUGGAUAAUGAAGGGAGAAGAGGCUAGUGAGCUCCAGCAGGAGUGACAUAGCGAGUAGAUCUGUGAUACAAUAAUGUUUUUUUUUUUUACAUUUUAAAAACAAAAUUGUAUUUUACUUUAAAAAUGUAAAAACCAUUCUUAGCUUCUUGCCCUAGAGCUGUAUUUGGCUCUCCAAACCUAGUUUGCAGACCUUUGAGCAAGGGAAAAUGCAAAAGUAUUCUAACAAACACAACAUUCUUUCUGAAAUAAAGGCCUAUCUAUUAAAGCACUGUAUUUCUCAAAUGAUGUUGUUAGAUGAUGUGUCGUGAAACGCUACAGCUGAGGCUUAUGAGGAGCUCAAUGGAUAGGUAGGGAUAUGGAAGGCAUAAGUAGAUUGCUACACAUUAUAGACAAGGAAUAGUGCAAGAAAAGUGGCAUAAAGGAAAUCUUCCAAGUCAUGUAUGGCUGAAGAUGGUUUAGUCUUUUAGGAAGAGUAAAGGUAUAAUAAUCAACAGGGAGCCAAUGGGCUUCACUGGUAUCCCUACAAUGCCAAGAACUCAAGACCAGCUCUCAGCACAGCACAGUGGAUAUAACCUGUGAAGAUUGGGUUUAGCUAUCUCCUGAUUGUAACAAUGAAAAUACUUAGCUCUUCCUUUAUUGUGAAGAUUAAAUUAUAAUCCCCUUAUUGUAAGAUAAUUCAGUAUUUGAAUUAGAUCUACCCAUUUUAACUACAAAAAGGUGUUAACUAACUACAAAAAGGUGUAAACACCUAUUUCAUGCAUUGAGUGGGAGGUCUGUGGCCCAGGUGUGAAAGAAGGGGCAGUCUUAGAGAGGAGCGUCUGCUAUGAUUGGUAGACAUGAAAUUUUGGGGAGGUGACACAAGAGAAAAAGGCAUUUAAAUAGAGGAAACAAAGACUGAAGAGGACAGAAGAGUCACUUGGAGUGAAGGAUCAGUCACUCUGAGCUGAAGAGAAGACAGACACUUGAGGAGAGACUGGAAGAUGGACACUCGGACUUGGCUGUGGAACUGGACCCCUGGAGGAGCUCGUGCAGGAAACCUCAGACUGCUUUCCUCUUAGAUGGUCACCACUGGUUAGUGAAAGGCAGACUUAGUGACCCUGCCUUUCUGGAGGUGUAAACCUCGGAGAAAGGUCCAUCUUCUUGAGACUCUUCUCCCUGAUUAGGACCUUAGAAUUUCUACCUGGCUCAGAGGAAGCUGGAGCUCUCUCCCUUUCUACCCUUUUCUCACUUCCUUAAUAUCUUUUCUCUCUAUUGUAAAUAAACUACCAUAAAUUCCAA